rnacentral:misc_RNA from 1 species
GUGAAUCAUCGAAUCUUUGAACGCAAAUUGCACUCCCUGGUAUUCCGGGGAGUAUGCCUGUUUGAGGGUCGGUAGAAGAAAAAUCGAAGCAUCGCUCUUUUUUUGGGGGUGAUCGCGUCGGAAUUGAUCCGCUUUCCAUAUGUUAAUUCAUGUCAAAGUGGCCUAAAAUUUUUCCAUCCGGUACGAAUAAAGCGUACUUAAGAUCAAUUUUGAUUAAGCACGCGCGAU